CUGAAACCGUGUACGUACAAGCAGUGGGAGCCUCUUUAUGGGGUGACUGCGUACCUUUUGUAUAAUGGGUCAGCGACUUAUAUUCUGUAGCAAGGUUAACCGAAUAGGGGAGCCGAAGGGAAACCGAGUCUUAACUGGGCGUUAAGUUGCAGGGUAUAGACCCGAAACCCGGUGAUCUAGCCAUGGGCAGGUUGAAGGUUGGGUAACACUAACUGGAGGACCGAACCGACUAAUGUUGAAAAAUUAGCGGAUGACUUGUGGCUGGGGGUGAAAGGCCAAUCAAACCGGGAGAUAGCUGGUUCUCCCCGAAAGCUAUUUAGGUAGCGCCUCGUGAAUUCAUCUCCGGGGGUAGAGCACUGUUUCGGCAAGGGGGUCAUCCCGACUUACCAACCCGAUGCAAACUGCGAAUACCGGAGAAUGUUAUCACGGGAGACACACGGCGGGUGCUAACGUCCGUCGUGAAGAGGGAAACAACCCAGACCGCCAGCUAAGGUCCCAAAGUCAUGGUUAAGUGGGAAACGAUGUGGGAAGGCCCAGACAGCCAGGAUGUUGGCUUAGAAGCAGCCAUCAUUUAAAGAAAGCGUAAUAGCUCACUGGUCGAGUCGGCCUGCGCGGAAGAUGUAACGGGGCUAAACCAUGCAC
rnacentral:rRNA from 1 species